rnacentral:tRNA from 1 species
GCCGGGAUAGCUCAGUUGGUAGAGCCGGGGACUGAAAAUCC